UACGGAGGGGGCUAGCGUUGUUCGGAAUUACUGGGCGUAAAGCGCACGUAGGCGGCUUUGUAAGUUAGAGGUGAAAGCCCGGGGCUCAACUCCGGAAUUGCCUUUAAGACUGCAUCGCUCGAAUUGUGGAGAGGUAAGUGGAAUUCCCGGUGUAGCGGUGAAAUGCAGUAGAUAUCGGGAGGAACACCUGUGGCGAAAGCGGCUCACUGGACCACAACUGACGCGUGAGG
rnacentral:rRNA from 1 species